AAGACCUCGCGCUUUUGGAGCGGCCGAUGUCUGAUUAGCUAGUUGGUAGGGUAAUGGCCUACCAAAGCUUCGAUCAGUAGCUGGUCUGAGAGGACGACCAGCCACACUGGGACUGAGACACGGCCCAGACUCCUACGGGAGGCAGCAGUGGGGAAUUUUGGACAAUGGGCGCAAGCCUGAUCCAGCCAUGCCGCGUGAGUGAAGAAGGCCUUCGGGUUGUAAAGCUCUUUCAGCCGGGAAGAAAAGGCUACGACGAAUAAUCGUAGCUCAUGACGGUACCGGAAGAAGAAGCACCGGCUAACUACGUGCCAGCAGCCGCGGUAAUACGUAGGGUGCGAGCGUUAAUCGGAAUUACUGGGCGUAAAGGGUGCGCAGGCGGUUUUGUAAGUCAGAUGUGAAAUCCCCGGGCUUAACCUGGGAACU
rnacentral:rRNA from 1 species